AUGGCUGCCAAUAGCUCCUUAAAUCAUUCAUUCUCUCUAUUUAGAGAUUUUCUUUCUGAUAGCCCGUUUUCUAGAGGAGAGCUCUUGUAGGAGAGCGUCUAAGGUACUGAUAGAAGAGUUGG
rnacentral:lncRNA from 1 species